AAAGAUUCAACAACAAGUAACGGGAUGACUUUUCGGGCUACUAUUUGCACCUUUUGGAAGCUACAGGUUUUAUCAUAGGUGAAGUUGAUCCAACCAAUAACAAAGAAAGCUCAGAUGUCAGUCUUCACGGCAUGAAUAGAGUGUUUAGUUCUAAAACUCCACGGGCAAUACGAAACUCCGUAAUGCCCUCAGAGAUGGGCAAUACAGGAAUGUCACAACUACCAAUUAGCCAAUCACAGCGUGCGUACUAUCGAAGCCAUAUAAUAAUUACUGUUAUAUCCAGGAUCAGAACAAUAGAUACAUCAGUAUCAAGGACCAGGCUUAUACAAACAUAAGUUCACUAAAUCUGUUUUGUAAGCCCUGAUGCUUGGAUUUCACUGUACCUGUUUUGUAAGCCCAUGUGCAUGAAUUCCACUGUACCUGUUUUGUAAGCCCAUGUGCAUGAAUUCCACUGUACCUGUUUUGUAAGCCCAUGUGCAUGAAUUCCACUGUACCUGUUUUGUAAGCCCAUGUGCAUGAAUUUCACUGUACCUGUUUUGUAAGCCCUGAUGCUUGCUUUUUAACAGGAGCUCUACCUCUACAAAAUUAAAUAAAGUUCUGUUAAAGAAUUCAGGCUGUCUACAAAAUAUCUGGCAAUAUUUUAGGCCAAAAAGUAAAUCAACAUCAAAAUGGGUAAAAAGAAGGCAUAAUUAAAGUGGUAAUUGUGACAGUGAACUUCUGGUCAAUUAUGUUACAAUCUGGUGGGCCAACGACGAAACCUCAGCUACCGCCAUUGAAAAGGGAAGACAAGAAAAAUGUACAGUAUUAGAAUCCCUGCUAUUGAACAGGCCAUCAGCUCAAGAUUAUCACUCACAUUCUCAAAGAAACUUCGAAUUGACACAAUGCUUUAACAUUUUUGAAAAAUGUACAGUAAUAGUAAAA